CUCUAACUAUUAACCACGAUUGAAUUCUUCUCCCACGAUUUUAAUGAAUAUUUCUCAACAUCUGAAACCAUUUUCGUCAACUCUCUUUUCUUCUAGAUUCUAUAACCGCCGAUCCAUCGCUCACCAAACUCAAUUGAAGAUUCGGCUGCCAUUUCUUGAUCGUCAGCUGCCGCCCUAGCGCCGCCGCCUCAGACCAACGUCGCCCAAAAUGAUUUCAUAACCGCUCCUCGCUAUUCCAUCAUUCACCAAACUCAAUCGAAGACUCGGCCGCCAUUUCUCGGUUGUCAAUCGCUGCCCUAGCGUCGCCGCAUCAGACCACUGUCGCCCAAAACAGUGAGUGUGUGUCUGUGCAGACAGUGUGUGCAAAGCAAGACACAAGAUCAGUCAAUACAUUGAGGCCACUGCAUCAGAAGUUAGAGAAGUGUUUCUAAAAGUUCUGGUACUAAUUUCAAUUUCAUUUUUUUCGUAGGUUGAUUAAAAUUUAAAGUGAAUUAUUGAAACUGGAUUUUUAAAUCAAGAUCGGAUUUUAGUUUGAAAAAAACCAACAUCAAACAUGGUGGUUCACUGUUUAUCAUCUUGAAAUACUGCAACAUAGAACUUCGGCUGAUGCAGCCCUCCACGAGCGGCAGAUUCGCCAAUUGGAAGGGUGCCAUGUUGGUGUAUUUCUGUGCACCAGCGGCAGUUAUGGUUCAAGGAUUAUAUUCUCUUUUUUAUUUCAGUGCUCUUUUUAGAGGUGUUUCACUCUUCACACAUAACUGUUGGACUUAUGUUUUAAUGAUUUUUUAGAACAUAAAGUUGAAAGUAGUGUUUUACGUAUGUAUUCUGCUCCUUGGAAGAUAAGUAGUUCUAAUAUUAUUUUAUAUGUGACUUUCACUCUAUUGAUCUCAAUAUUAUCUGAGUUACCGUUGAGUUAUCGUCAUCUGCCAGUCAUGUUCUUUAAGUGAUUUUUUAGUAUACUCCAAAUAUUUUUUUAUUUAUAUUCUCUUUGAUGAAUUCUUUGAAUAUACUGUUAUUGUGAUUAUUUUAUGUUAAUUUUAUGACAACUGGAUUUUAUUACUAUUUUUAUUUGGUAGCUUGAGUUCUAACUUAAUGAUUUGGUGAAGGAAUUUGUGGAUCAGAUUAUGUAAUUAUCUGAAAAAUUGGAAGAUUACCGCUUAGCUUUCGUUGAGACUAUAUUGUCUACCAGCUUAUGCUUUUGAAUUUGUACAUUAUACUCUUUUGAUAUGUGCUCUACCUUUUCAGAUGACCACCUUAGUUGUUGUUACUUUUGUAGUUUGGAAUAUAGAAUAUUUUAUUUUUAUGGUAAGAAUAUUUUACCAAUUUUAUUUGAUGGAAUAUGAAAGCAUUUCAGCAUUGGGGAUCAUGAGAUUAUUGUGCUACGCCAUUUGAGUAAGAAAUCAUGACCUCCAUGCUAACUAACUGGUAAGUAAAAGGUAUAAAUUACUUUUUACGAAUCAUAUUUACUUAUCAUUCUCUUGAUGAUCUAAGGUAGUUUCUUUUAUUAAUUCCAGUUUUUCUCCAUUUCUUUCCACGCGUUUGAGUUAAGCUAGAAAUUAUGUAGUUUGAAUUAAGCUAACAAUUAUGUAGGAUUCGAGAGGACAACAAAAAUAUAUUAAUGACAACAAAGUUUGUGGACACAAAAAUAUAUUGAGGAAUAGUUCAUGAGUAUAUUGUAAUCAAAAUAGAGAAAUGUGAGUGUUAAUCUAUUCCAGAGUCGAACUCUGCCUCUUUUUAGAGUUUUACUAAAUUCUAACUUUAUUUUGUAUUUUUUUUGUUACGUCUUGAGAUUUUGGUUGCGAUAUACCAAUAUUUUGGGACUUGAACUCUAAAUGUAGUUUGUUUAUUGCCCUUUUAUCUUAAACUUUUUGUUACUUUAAAUCAAGUUUCAUUUGAUUGUUGACAUAAUGGUUCUAGAUUUGGAUGCCUAUUUCUCUCACGUUAUGGUCACAUUUAAGCAGUCCUUUACAUACUCACAUAUGUUUCUUCCCUCCACUUUGUUUGUACUCUAUCAUUGAUAACUAUAUAUUGAUGUUCUGAUUGUUCAAUGCACGUAAUUCUGGCCAUAUGAUCUUUAUGUUCACUAUCAUUACUAUUCUUCAUUGCUUAUUUAAUUCCUCUUUUAGGCAAAGUACUGGAAGCAAUAUGUUGAAACUCUCAUGGCCGGCAACAAUAAUGAAGCAACAAAACAAGUUUUUAGUCGCUAUCUUUUGAAUUGCUUGCAAUUUCCUCUUUCAUAUAUUUUCUGCAGUUUGCUGUUUUCUUUUGCAGUCUUGUGUUUGAUGUAGUGGUUUAUUAUCUUGUGUUAUACUGUAGAUUUUAGUGCUCAUGUCUGCCCACGUUGCAAUUCUACCCUUUCACAUGCUUUACUCAUGUUGAGACCUAACCGUACUUUCACAAUUUCUAUGCGGGCGCUGCUACAUUCGCUUGAUAAGGAAAGUUAAUGAUAAGAAGUGAUCUUGAUCCUCAAUUGGAUCAUGUGCGUCUGAGAAUGGAAUAAAUCAAUUGGAUUACUAUGUGAUGUUAACAAAUAUAUUCAGAAUUUGAGCUUUAGAAGGAAAGGCAUUUUGUCAGCAAAUGGUGGAUCAGAGAAUUUUCCAAUGAGAAUCUGUGAGGCAAGAUACCUGAUUUGCAGCCUUAGUGUAAUGGAUUCCAUUCCAGUUUAUGUAUUCUGUAGUGUCACUGCAUCCUUUGGCUGUCACCGAACUUCCAUUCAAAAUUAACUUUCAUCUCCCCGCAGGGAACCCGACUGUCGUAGUUCAGUGGGGAACCUCCAUAUCUGCAGCACGCGCCAUCAAUGCCUGCUCGAAUCCUAGAGCAUGCAGCUGCAGGUUGAAUAGCCUUGAAGCUUGAUUGUGAGAGCUGACACAUCCGAGCUCAUCUAGCUUGGAUGCGUCCCCUCCAAAUUUGGCAAUAUUUUGAGGCAGGCAGUCGAGGGGGCCCGUGUUGUGAAUCCAGAAGUUUCUAGCCCCUUCAUCGUAUAGUUUCUGCAAAUAUUUGAUUCAUCAUCUUCUUCUGAGUUAUGUAUGAUGUGUGCGAGAAAAAUAUCCAAGGAAUAGCCUGCCAACCUUAUAUUUUGAUUAUAUUAAUAUUUAUAUUUAUUUAUUUAAAAUAUUAUUUUA